AAGCCACAGGAGUACAUUAUACUUUGGACUUGCUUUCCCUUGGAUAUGAAUAGAUGACAGCCAGCUCUCUAACCUGACACCAAAUAGACUCUGAUAGUUGAUGUGAUAAUUGUGUUUCCCCUUGCUCUACCUUUCUCUUUUUUUGCAUCUCAUUGUUGCUAGCCUUUAAAAGAUUUCGCCAUUUGUCCUUGAGAUUUACAGAUGUGCGAUGAGAAGAUGAAGAAAAC
rnacentral:misc_RNA from 1 species